rnacentral:rRNA from 1 species
GCUCCAGCACUUAGUUUGCAUUUCACCAAUGUUUGUUCUUGGAAGCUAAGCAGGAUCAGGCUUGGUUAGUGUUUCAGUGGGGAACCACCUGGGAAUACCAAGUACUGUCAGCU